UACGUAGGGUGCAAGCGUUAAUCGGAAUUACUGGGCGUAAAGCGUGCGCAGGCGGUUCGCUAAGACAGAUGUGAAAUCCCCGGGCUUAACCUGGGAACUGCAUUUGUGACUGGCGGGCUAGAGUAUGGCAGAGGGGGGUAGAAUUCCACGUGUAGCAGUGAAAUGCGUAGAGAUGUGGAGGAAUACCGAUGGCGAAGGCAGCCCCCUGGGCCAAUACUGACGCUCAUGCACGAAAGCGUGGGGAGCAAACAGGG
rnacentral:rRNA from 1 species